rnacentral:rRNA from 1 species
UACGUAGGGGGCUAGCGUUGUCCGGAUUUAUUGGGCGUAAAGAGCGUGUAGGCGGCCAGGUAGGUCUGCUGUGAAAACUCGAGGCUCAACCUCGAGACGUCGGCGGAAACCAUCUGGCUAGAGUCCGGAAGAGGAGAGUGGAAUUCCUGGUGUAGCGGUGAAAUGCGCAGAUAUCAGGAAGAACACCCGUGGCGAAGGCGGCCCUCUGGACGGUGACUGACGCUGAGACGCGAAAGCGUGGGGAGCAAACAGG